rnacentral:misc_RNA from 1 species
CAGAUGUGUAUAAGAGCCAGGUGAAUCAUCGAAUCUUUGAACGCACAUUGCGCCCAUUAGUAUUCUAACGGGCAUGCCUGUUCGAGCGUCAUUUCAACCCUCAAGCCCUGCUUGGUGUUGGGGCACUAUUUUCGUAUAGGCCCUGUAACGUAGUGGCGGAUCUGCUGUCAUCCUGAGCGUAGUAAUACACGUCGCUUUGGGAUUUCAGUGGGCUUCUGCCGUUAAACCCCCACUUUAUAAGGUUGACCUCGGAUCAGGUAGGAAUACCCGCUGAACUUAAGCAUAUCAAUAAGCGGAGGA